rnacentral:tRNA from 1 species
GGGCAGGUAUGCAAGUGGUUAAAGCUUAUGGACUGUAAAUCCAUCCUCGUUUAGAGUUCGGGGGUUCAAAUCCCUCCCUGCCCC